rnacentral:rRNA from 1 species
GGGUGGUAAUGCCGGAUGCUCCAGUUGAUCGCAUGGUCUUCUGGGAAAGCUUUCGCGGUAUGGGAUGGGGUCGCGUCCUAUCAGCUUGACGGCGGGGUAACGGCCCACCGUGGCUUCGACGGGUAGCCGGCCUGAGAGGGCGACCGGCCACAUUGGGACUGAGAUACGGCCCAGACUCCUACGGGAGGCAGCAGUGGGGAAUAUUGCACAAUGGGCGCAAGCCUGAUGCAGCGACGCCGCGUGAGGGAUGGAGGCCUUCGGGUUGUAAACCUCUUUUAUCGGGGAGCAAGCGAGAGUGAGUUUACCCGUUGAAUAAGCACCGGCUAACUACGUGCCAGCAGCCGCGGUAAUACGUAGGGUGCAAGCGUUAUCCGGAAUUAUUGGGCGUAAAGGGCUCGUAGGCGGUUCGUCGCGUCCGGUGUGAAAGUCCAUCGCUUAACGGUGGAUCCGCGCCGGGUACGGGCGGGCUUGAGUGCGGUAGGGGAGACUGGAAUUCCCGGUGUAACGGUGGAAUGUGUAGAUAUCGGGAAAGA